CAGGGACCAGUACUUCCAUGUAGCGUCAUGCAAGAGUGGCAGAUAUCUUACAGCUAAGGAAAACUCGCGUAUCAGAAAAGAGAGAGUGCAGCAAUGCAGAGUAAGCUCAGUGGCCUUAUAGAAAUAAAGAGUUGGUGCUCAGGGAAGCCACCUCACAGGGACCUCCAGCAGGCCAGGCAUUGUCCAAAGCCUUGGUGCAAUGCAGUCUGCUCCCCUCCAGAUGCCAAGAACAGGCAAUCUAAAGCGAGGACCAGGGCUCACAACCUUCCAGGAGAUGCAGGAACAUAAUACAGUGGGCCAAUGCUAACAGAAGAAAGGAAGGCUGUUGUAUACCUCUCCUGCAGCCCUG